UACGUAGGGGGCAAGCGUUAUCCGGAUUUACUGGGUGUAAAGGGAGCGUAGACGGUUAUGCAAGUCUGAAGUGAAAGCCCAAGGCUCAACCAUGGGACUGCUUUGGAAACUGUAAAACUGGAGUGCAGGAGAGGUAAGCGGAAUUCCUAGUGUAGCGGUGAAAUGCGUAGAUAUUAGGAGGAACACCAGUGGCGAAGGCGGUCUGCUGGACAGCAACUGACGCUGAGGCGCGAAAGCGUGGGGAGCAAACAGG
rnacentral:rRNA from 1 species